rnacentral:rRNA from 1 species
AUUGAACGCUGGCGGAAUGCUUUACACAUGCAAGUCGAGCGGCAGCGCGGCCUUCGGGCUGGCGGCGAGCGGCGAACGGGUGAGUAAUGCAUCGGAACAUGCCCAGUCGUGGGGGAUAACACUUCGAAAGAAGUGCUAAUACCGCAUACGUCCUGAGGGGGAAAGCAGGGGAUCGCAAGACCUCGCGCGAUUGGAGUGGCCGAUGUCAGAUUAGCUAGUUGGUGGGGUAAAGGCCUACCAAGGCGACGAUCUGUAGCUGGUCUGAGAGGAUGAUCAGCCACACUGGGACUGAGACACGGCCCAGACUCCUACGGGAGGCAGCAGUGGGGAAUUUUGGACAAUGGGGGCAACCCUGAUCCAGCCAUUCCGCGUGAGUGAAGAAGGCCUUCGGGUUGUAAAGCUCUUUCGGCAGGAACGAAACGGUGGGCUCUAACAUAGUCCGCUAAUGACGGUACCUGAAGAAGAAGCACCGGCUAACUACGUG